rnacentral:rRNA from 1 species
GACAGAGGGUGCAAACGUUGCUCGGAAUCACUGGGCGUAAAGGGCGUGUAGGCGGGCAGGUAAGUCGGGCGUGAAAUCCCUGGGCUCAACCCAGGAACUGCACUCGAAACUACUUGUCUUGAGUGUCGGAGAGGAAAGCGGAAUUCCUGGUGUAGAGGUGAAAUUCGUAGAUAUCAGGAGGAACACCAGUGGCGAAGGCGGCUUUCUGGACGAUAACUGAC